UACGGAGGGUGCAAGCGUUAAUCGGAAUUACUGGGCGUAAAGCGCACGCAGGCGGUUUGUUAAGUCAGAUGUGAAAUCCCCGAGCUUAACUUGGGAACUGCAUUUGAAACUGGCAAGCUAGAGUCUUGUAGAGGGGGGUAGAAUUCCAGGUGUAGCGGUGAAAUGCGUAGAGAUCUGGAGGAAUACCGGUGGCGAAGGCGGCCCCCUGGACAAAGACUGACGCUCAUGCACGAAAGCGUGGGGAGCAAACAGG
rnacentral:rRNA from 1 species